rnacentral:rRNA from 1 species
UACGGAGGGGGCUAGCGUUGUUCGGAAUUACUGGGCGUAAAGCGCGCGUAGGCGGAUCUGCAAGUCGGGGGUGAAAUCCCGAGGCUCAACCUCGGAACUGCCUUCGAUACUGCGGGUCUCGAGUCCGGGAGAGGUGAGUGGAAUUCCUAGUGUAGAGGUGAAAUUCGUAGAUAUUCGGAAGAACACCAGUGGCGAAGGCGACUUACUGGACACAUAUUGACGCUGAGGUGCGAAAGCGUGGGGAGCAAACAGG